UGGGGAAUUUUGGACAAUGGGGGAAACCCUGAUCCAGCAAUGCCGCGUGGAGGAUGAAGGUUUUCGGAUUGUAAACUCCUGUCAUGAGGGAACAAGAAAGUGAUAGUACCUCAAGAGGAAGAGACGGCUAACUCUGUGCCAGCAGCCGCGGUAAUACAGAGGUCUCAAGCGUUGUUCGGAUUCAUUGGGCGUAAAGGGUGCGCAGGCUGUGGGGUAAGUCGGGUGUGAAAUUUAGGGGCUCAACCCCUAAACUGCAUUCGAUACUGCCUCGCUAGAGGACUGUAGAGGAGAUUGGAAUUCACGGUGUAGCAGUGAAAUGCGUAGAUAUCGUGAGGAAGACCAGUGGCGAAGGCGAAUCUCUGGGCAGUUCCUGACGCUCAUGCACGAAGGCCAGGGGAGCAAACGGG
rnacentral:rRNA from 1 species